UCAUGCUCCCCAUGUAGGAUCUCUGUCCUUAAUGUGUUUAACUAUGAAACUCAAAAACAACACUACUAGUCGAACAACACCCUAUGCCUGGUUCGGUUGUGUGAGUGCAGCCUGUUGAAAUUCCUGCUUAGUAUAUACUAAGUUGAUCUUCAAUAUAUGAAGCUCCUCUUGAGGUGAUGGACUAGGAGGAGCUGCUAGCAUCAUCGUCAACUGGGAAUUCCACUCCUUGCUCCUUGAAGACAUCAGCAGAUGGAGACCCAUUGAUGGCAAGUAUUCUGUCUCCCAAGGUCCUCCAGCUUUGAGCUCCUCGUAGGAAGACCACGCCUGGGGAACACUGUACAGUACUUGAACUUUGGGGAUCUUUCUUUCAUUGAGAAAGGGGCCUGAGUGAGAAAGGGAAGGGAAAAUGCAUGUGGUAUCCCAAUUGUCAUGCCCCAACAGGCCUCGUUAUAAGCUCCACCAAGCUGUCAAGUGGGGUAGCCCACCCAAAAUCUGUGAACUGGGAUCAAGCAAGAGCAGGGCUGCAGGGCACAAGCAAACUUCAUGAGAAGGUGGCCAGGCUCCCAUGCCACUGCCUCCGUUGCUUCUGCUCUGCUCCCUCAUCUCUUACUGUUGGAUCACAUGCAAGAGAUCUCUAUGACCAACUGGUGGGAGUUACGAGCCCGCUUAAGCUCGUAUAGGUCGGCUUGGUAUACAGGAGAAAAUGGGCCAAAAUGAAUGGAUAAGUGAGGGGACGGUGAAGAACUCUCUGGCCUGGGUGGAGGGUUCAGAGUGGGCAGCAGGGAGAACCAUGGCCAGAAAGGCAUGUUGGGACUGGGGGCUGGGCCAGGUGGAAACAGGCCCUGGCAGAGGACCUUGCGUUAGAGAUUCUCCUUUGGUUAUUUCACACAUUUUUGUGGACUUAGCACCAUCAUCACUAAUUACGUGUAUAAUUACUGCCUCGACAUCUGUCCAUCCUGGUAGGGAAUGACCUCCAAGAGCCCAGAGAGCUUGCCAGUCUCACUCAUGGAGCAAGACCCUGAAUGUAGCUGGAUCUGGUGAAUAGUCAGUGAUUGGAUGAGGAAGGGGUUUUGUGUAAGCAGAUGUGCUCCCAGAUAUAGGCCUUAUUGGAGGAGCUACCCAAAAACUCCUUUCUGAGAAAAAAGGACAUCAGAUUGAGGGCUGGGGGUUAUGGAGAGAUAGUAAAGACAGCUUUCAAUUCGGGACCUGGAAGUUGGCCUGAGAGAGGCCCUAAGCAUCCAAGCUGCACACUGGUUCUCCCUGAUCUUCAGAACCCAUCAGUUCCUACCAGCUGUCAUCCAGGGAUAGUCACCUCAUCUCUCUUUGCAUCAGUUACAUCGUGAAGUGGGGAUAGUGACCCCUAUCUUAGGACGUGAUGCAUAUGCCGCACCAAUGUGCCUGACUCAGACCAAGGGAUCCAUAAGCAGUACAUUUUACAUUUGCCAAGAUCAGACUGGGAUGAUAUGACAUGGAAGGAAGAGGCAGAGCCGAGGGACACUGUGAUCAAAGAAUGCAUAGUGUUUGAUGGAUUGUAAGAGAGGGGGUGUGAAGUCGAGGGACCGUGGGCACCUGUGCUCCUGCAGUAUGCCCCUGAUUGGAAGCUGCUGUCAGCAAGGCACACGGAAGCUCUGGGCUCCAGGUACCACGGCACCAAUGGCAGAGGCCAGCUUGGAAGUCAGAGGACAUAGAGACAAGGAGAAGAGGAACAGAAUCAUCCAGCUACUCUAUAAUCAGCUUAUGAGUCGUGGAAUUUGAUGUGAGCGCGUUAGUAAUGUCACAUAUGACUAUGUGGGUUUUCAGCCUAUUUUUCUUAAAUGCGAAUUGUGUUGGCAACCGAAUGCGUGCUAACACCCUAAGAUUUAGUUACAUUUUGGUUAAGAAGUCCAGAAGACUUUGGACUUGGCUUUGAAACAUUGAAAGUGAAUUGAAUUUGCAUUAUUUAAGUGGCUUAUUCAGAUUAACACUGCUAUCUCUUCUGAUUUAAGAACCCAAAGAUUUGAUAUUUCAGCAGCAACAAUGACACCUAGGGGUUGGUUUCUCCAGGUUUAAUCUUAGAUUUAGAUCCUGUACGUUUUGAAAAAUAAGAGUGCCAACACACGGGUGCAAUCCAAAGUGUCCCUGUGGACUUGGUUGCUGGCCAGGAGAACACUGACACAUCAAAGAAAGGAAAAGGCUGGAAGUGGCUUCUAAGAAAAUUGUUUUCCUUCUCAACUUGUAACACCUCUCAGUUUGCUUAAUGUACCUGACCUUUGAACCAGCAAUGUGGCAUCCUUUGCAGAUUUCCCAUCGGAUCCUCAGCUAGUCUGUGUGUGGAUAGGAGAGCCUCCUUCCUUGCAUGGAGAAGCACUCAGGCCUUGGGCCAGCUACUUCUAGUUCUCUCCCUCCUUUGAGGAGCUAGUGGAACAAGUAUUUGGUGAUUCACCUCAUCCCCUCCGUGUAUUUUUAUUGGAGACUUGAGCAACUCCUUGACCUUAUGACUUUGACCUUUAGACUCCGGGCAACCUUUGGUCUGUUGUCAGUUAACUAACAGUAUUGAUUGAGAACCUCCUGGGUCCUCAAUGCAUGUGGAGUGUGUGUGUGUGUGUGUGUGUGUGUGUAUGUAUGUUCCCUACUGGGUUUAGGCGAGAAUGAGGGGAAUCUGAAAGGAAAUGCACAAGGGUCCAGUCCAUGGAAAACAUGCCAUUUAUUUAUUUAUUUAUUUUUACAGAUCUAUUUAUUUAUUUGAAAGGCGGCGUCACACACACACACAGAAAGAGAGAGAGAGAGAUUGAGACCUUUUAUAUGCUGGUUCACUCCCCAAAUGGCCAAUAUGGCUGGGGCUGGGGGCCAAGUUGAAGCUAGUAGCUUGGAACUCCAUCUGGUUCCCCCAGGGGCCAAAGUACCUGGGCCAUCUUCUACUGCCUUAUAACCCAUGCGAGGUCAUCCCAUCCACACCCAGUGAGGAUCCCCACAUUUGUGGCAGUCCCUGGGCAGCCGCUAGACCCCAUCUCACCCACAUGUUUGUCGUUAAUCUCAAAGUGGAUGCAAAAUUCAGGCCCUGGAUUUCAACGCCUGUAAAAAGGCUUCUGCUAACCAAGGGUCGAGGAUAUGCUUGUGUCUUUCCAGAGAAUGCAGGACAGCCCAUUUGGGUACCAGCCAGAAACAUCAAGCCUGCAACUGACAGCCAACCAGAACCAGCUGAACAAGACCGAGAGUCAGCCUUGUUAGCAGACGCACCUGCCCUAUCAUCCUACCCUGAGGAACUGCCCAUAGCCACAUCCUCUACUGCUUUAUACCCCACUAGCUCUGGUCAGCCACUCAAAUGGCCCACAGCCUGUGUGUGGUCACGCCAUUCCUGAUAACCAUUGUUCCUCAUUCCUACCCGAUCUGAGCAAGCACACCUGUGGUCUCCCGUUUUGAGUGCUGGUUAGUCAACGACAGGUAAGAUCCCCUGGGGGACAACCUAAGACAGGCACAGCUGUGUACGGAGACCACACGGAAACGGGGUCAACAAUGGUGCAGCCAAGAAUCAUGCCUUCCAUUGCUAAAAAAUAAACAAAAAAGGGGAAAUGUGGUGCAAAGAGAAGGCCAUGCCAAGACGGCCACUGACAACAGAGUCUGCCUGGCAACAGGCUGUGAUUGGAUGGCUUCGGAAACUGCCUGGCAACAGGCUGUGAUUGGUUAGAGCAUAGACCACCCCAUGACCGGGUUGGCUGCCUUGGCUAUAUAAGCUGCUGUAGCAACUGAAAUGAGUCUGCAAGCUGCUCGCCUCAGGCCUGCUUUCACCCGACUCCCGGGGUCUGUGUGGUGACUCUGCGCCUCUUGCCCCCACCACGCUGCUCCUCUCAGAACGAAUCCACCUCGACACCCAGGAAGGGAGCUGGGUCAGAAGUAGAGCAGCCAGGAGUCCAACUUGUGCUCCAAAAUGGAAGCCAGUGUUGCAAGCUUCAGCCUAUCCUGCUGUGCUACAGUACCAAUCCAUGCAGUUUAUUUAGAGCACACCAAACUUAACAUGAAAUAACCCGUUCAUGAAAACAUCUGUGAGCAUGCAGGAACAACGCAUCAAGAUUCAGAUGAUGUUUCAAUGUCCUCUUAACAUGAAAAUCCUGUGAUUGGGGGGCGGAUUACAAUUAGCACUCUCCCAUGCCGUUACACAAUGAUCAUGUCGGCACUAUACUAUUUUUUUUGUUUGUUUUAGUGAGGCUGAUGCAAGAUGGACCAGAUCUCUGUGAGUGACUGUGAACUGACUUUUGGCAUUACAGCCUUGGAUGUUUGCUUCUAGAUAUUUGUAGAUAUGUAUAGGAUUAGCUGAUGAUGGUGAGACCCGGCCAAGCUCUCCUAUAGUGAGGAUGUGUGCCUGGAUUAUUCUGAUUAUCUUAAGAUAGGCCAGAAAAUCCUUUUUGUUUUAAUCCCGCUGUUGAUCUUUCUUUUUCUGUCUUGAGUGUGUAGGUCCAGUUUCCUGACUUGGCAAGUGUAGGGUGCAGAAUUGAUGGAUACCAGAUGGUCCAUUUCAUCUUCUAAAUAACCCUUGAACUUUCCAUUUCUGAAGGUAUCUAAAUGUCUUCAAUGGCUUCUAAUAACAAUCCAGACCUUUGCCCAGCCUUGCUGUCCAGCCUGAUGUCCCUGGCCACUCCUAGCCUCAGCCCCAUCAUACCUGCCCAUCCCCACCCAUCUGCAUUUUGGUUGCCAGGCAGCACCAAGCUCCCUCCCUCUUCCCGCUCACUCCCCAUGUGAUUACCCCCUUACUCUUCCUAUAGGUCUUAACAAAGGGGAUAUUUUCUCUUGGAAGACUUCCCUGAUCUGUGUGACCUGGUUAUGUCCCUUUACUGUCCCUUAGUACUUUGUGACCUUUUGUUCACAGCUUUUUAUGAUGCUAUGGUUUGUUUGUGUCACCGCUGACUCCAUGCCAGUCCCCUCACCAUACUCCUAGGAGUCUGUGAAGUCAUCCACCUUGUUGGGCUAGCAUAGUGCUUAGCACUAGUAGAUGAUAAUGAAUUAAAAACAAUAGUGAAUGAAUGAACGAAUGAGUGUAAUGGAGUUUGUCUUCAACUCCAUAUCAGAUCAUUCUGUUUAAUUGUGUAAAACAGAGAACUGAAUGGUAGGAAACAUGGUGACAUUUAGGUGGGUUGUAGGACCCAUUGAAGAAAUUGUGAUAGAAAUACAUCUUAAUUGAUGCUCAUGGAUAUAAGUGUCAAGUAUAGAAGGUUCCAAUUACUUGCGUUGUCUUAUUAGUCAAAGGCAUGCUUGCUUUUUUUUUUUUUUUUUGAUAGGCAGAGUGGAUAGUGAGAGAGAGAGACCGAGAGAAAGGUCUUCCUUUUGCCGUUGGUUCACCCUCCAAUGGCCGCCACGGCUGGCGCACUGCGGCCGGCGCACUGCGCUGAUCUGAAGGCAGGAGCCAGGUACUUAUCCUGGUCUCCCAUGGGGUGCAGGGCCCGAGCACUUGGGCCAUUCUCCACUGCCUUCCCUGGCCACAGCAGAGAGCUGGCCUGGAAGAGGGGCAACCAGGACAGAAUCUGGCACCCUGACCGGGACUAGAACCCGGUGUGCUGGCGCCGCUAGGUGGAGGAUUAGCCUAUUGAGCUGCGGCGCCAGCCCCCUGCUUGUAUUUUAAUAAUGAAAUGAUGUAGAACCACAGGGCACCUGCUAUGGCCAUGUUUGCACUGAGGGAGAGGUUCAUCUGCUUCAGCUGAGAAUUCUUGUAGUCCAAACUCUUGGCAAAGUCCAAGAAAUGGGGGCUGCAUCUCACAGCUGUAGGGAAGACGUGCGUUCCCCUCUUUUGGAAGGACUUUGCUGAACACCAUUCGUUUCACUCACCUUGGAUUCAGAAUAGCCUUGAUUUUUAUCUCUAAGACAGAGAUUAUCAAGAGAAAUCUUAAUUUGGAGCAGAAAUUUGUUAAGUUGUAUUCUACUUUGUAAGAAAAAAAUAAACUCAAGGGAAUAUAGUGAUAGUGUUAGUGCCUCAAGUCCUCUCUUUUUAGAAUAUUUUAUCUAGUCGUUUUCAUGCUAAUUUUCAAAGUCAAGAGAAAUGACAUAGCAUAGAGGUUAAGGGCACAGAUUCUGGGGCUGGACUGCCUGGGUUAAUUUCCUGGCCUGGUUGGUGUCACUUAGUUGCUGAAUAAUCCCACUUUCUCCCUUUAACUCACAAAGAAUGAACAUUCCCCGCCUCACAUUGUUAUUGUGUGAAUGUUGGGAACAAAUACACUGGAAAAUGGCUAAAAGAGGGUCUCUAUAGAAGGCAAUAUUGAAGUAUUAGCUAUUACUGCACCUUGACACAUGGUAGGAUAUGUAGUUUUACCAUUUGGAUGCAUCGAUAGGGCUUGUACUUCACAAUCUCUCAGUCUCUUGUUUAAGUUUUAAAGCACGUAGGGUUUAUGUGGUGUUGAAGAAGUUGCUGUGACUCUUGGGAGAAUCUCUGCCUUCAGGGAAGUUGGGCAGAGAGAUCCCUCUAGGCACAACUGCAGAAUGCACUGGGUCAGGGCUGCCACUGUGGCGCCGCGGGUAAAGCCUCUGCUUGUAAUGCCAGCAUCCCAUAUGGGUACUGGUUCAUGUCCUGGCUGCUCCACUUCUGAUCCAGCUCCCUGACAAUGGUCUGGGAAAAGCAGCAGAACAUGGCCCAAGUGCUUGGGCCCCUGCCACCAACAACAAGGACCUGGAUGGAGCUCUUGGCUCCUGGUUUCAGCCUGGCCCAGCCCUGGCCAUUGCAGCCACUUGGGGAGUGAACCAGUAGAUGGAAGAUCUUUCUCUCUCUCUCUCUCUCUCUCUCUUUCUGUAACUGACUUUCAAAUAAGUAAGUCUUUUUUAAAAAAUGCAUUAAGCCCAUUUCUUCAUUCAACAAAUAUUUUCUGAGCACCGGCUGUGUGCCCAGAGCUGCUUCAGUACUAGGAAUACAGUGGCAGAAAGCACAAACCAAAUCUCUACUCUUGUGGACCUUGUGAGAGAGGUAGAAGUAAACAGGUAAACAGGCAGACCCAUACCUAGCAUAAUUUCAGUGCUAUGAAGAAAUUGCAGAACAAGGGGUAGGAGAUACCGGAGCUUGGUGGGAGUCCCUGUUGUAGAAAAAUGAGGCAUUGAGAGGAAGCUGUCCCGAGGAACUACAAAGAUACAAUCCAGGGAUUGCACUGUUCCAGGCUGGAGGGACCACAAAAUGAACAGAGCAUGGGCUGAGCAACACCAAGCCCAGGAAGACAAGAGAGGACCCAGAGGGUCUUGGAGAGAAUGAUGAGCGUGGCUUGGCAGAGCAAAGGUGGAAGACAGUUCUUUGCUCUGUUGGUGGGACUCAGAGAAGGGACUUGGAGAGGAGCAGGACUACUCAUGCAGUCGUGGUGCCUCGUGGGGGUUGUGUGAGAAUCCUACAGUUUACUUCUGAGGGCCCAGCUCCGCCAGUUUCUCCAGCUGGUGCCGUGUCAAGCUCAUCCCCUUCCCCUCUCCCUCUCAGGACUGGGAAGCUGGAGCAGGUGCAAUGAGGCCAGCAGAGAGCCCAAGAGAAAAUGGGAUUUUAAAGUUGUUAGGGCAUUUUGGCAUUCAGUUCCCCGAGAUGAACAGAGUGUCUUGUCUGGUAAUUGCAAUUAAUGGCUCUGCUAUUCAAGCAUAUCCGUCAAUAAAUCUCCUCUAAUAACCGAUUGGGCACAGUCGUUGCCAUAGUUAUGUCUCUAAAUUGAGCCCAGGGUAGUUGGCCAUGACACUGACCUUACCAGGGUCAGGGCUGCUUCCUGACUGUAUGACUCCAUAUCCCAGGAAUUAAAGCCACCCUCCAAAGGACUGGCUUCGAGCCAACUGAAAGACAAGCUCAGCCCUCAGCUUUACUGCCUGGAGAUUUCCUGUAAAUCUCUCAAAUGUGGAAUAAAAACGUUCGAAACCCCAUAACGUCGAUGGUUGUAGUGAUUUUGUGCAAUCUACUUUUGUGCCACGCUGGGCACGUUGUCAGUCGGGAGACCCCACAUCAGAUAGGCGAUCGUUGGGUUAUUCACACCAGCCUUAUCUUAGCCUCCUUGCCGAUGAGGUCAGUCUCUCACCCUCACUGUGGAGUCGUUUUCUUCAAUUCUCCCUUUCUAAGAGAAUUCCUUCCUCCACCCAAGUACGGUCUCGAGAAGCCCAUCUGUGUCUUAACCCCACCUCUCCGCUCUCCCGCAAGUCAUUGCUCGGCAACCACCAUACUCGCUUGUUCCAUUCUGGGGUCGGUUUGCCGAAGCUCCAGUCAUUGCUGGAGCUCACAUUUGGAGAGUGGCUCUGCCCCUGGUCCUUCCUCUUACGACUCACCUGCAUCCUUGGCAGAUCCUGGAUUUCUAGAAUGCCAUCUCAGAACCGAGCCUGGAAGAGCUAAUGAGGUGGGGGUAUUUUUAAAUGUGUCUAUUUAUAUGUUUGAGAUGAUUGCAGGUAAUUACACAGAAGGCGGAAGAAGGGACUGGAGGCAAAACUGCUCAGUAAAAUAGUUUUUCUUAAAGUCCUAUCUGUGUACAAUCUCUCUAAAAAAUUGCAAAAAACAAAACAAAACAAAACAAAAAAAACCACCCACAAAAACCCGAAACCAACCAAACAAAAAACCCAACUGGCAUGACAAAGCUACUUUAUUUUUCUCUCUGUGGCUGGACCUACACUUGACUUAAGCUUUCCAAAC